rnacentral:rRNA from 1 species
GACGAACGCUGGCGGCGUGCCUAAUACAUGCAAGUCGAACGCUUCUUUCCUCCCGAGUGCUUGCACUCAAUUGGAAAGAGGAGUGGCGGACGGGUGAGUAACACGUGGGUAACCUACCCAUCAGAGGGGGAUAACACUUGGAAACAGGUGCUAAUACCGCAUAACAGUUUAUGCCGCAUGGCAUAAGAGUGAAAGGCGCUUUCGGGUGUCGCUGAUGGAUUGACCCGCGGUGCAUUAGCUAGUUGGUGAGGUAACGGCUCACCAAGGCCACGAUGCAUAGCCGACCUGAGAGGGUGAUCGGCCACACUGGGACUGAGACACGGCCCAGACUCCUACGGGAGGCAGCAGUAGGGAAUCUUCGGCAAUGGACGAAAGUCUGACCGAGCAACGCCGCGUGAGUGAAGAAGGUUUUCGGAUCGUAAAACUCUGUUGUUAGAGAAGAACAAGGACGUUAGUAACUGAACGUCCCCUGACGGUAUCUAACCAGAAAGCCACGGCUAACUACGUG